rnacentral:miRNA from 15 species
AAAUCCGUAUACCUUUCAGCUG